AAAAUACACAUGGGUGUCAGAGGAGAAGAUCUGGAAGAAGCGUGAAAUUCAGGACUACCUCUUUUUGCAGGAGAGUAAAUUGAGUGCAGGUAUGGUGUUCCACCAAGGCCCCAAGCCUGGAAGUUGGCCCGUCCCUCUCCAGCAAAGUGGUCAAAGGUCUGGCCCAGAAGAUCACGCAAGCUGUCAGGAAGCAGAUUCUAGCCUGAAGAUACCAGCGCUUCCUCAUAUCAACAACUACCACAAAGAACGUCUCGUCUGAACUGAACUCGUAUACUUCGGCCUUGCUUCCUUUAACAUACGCACAGCAGUCUGUAUACGUAAGCACUUUCACAUUAUUUACAUCAUUCUCUCCUUGGAGAGAAAAGGAGCACGUGACAAGUAUCAGUCACCUUGCUUAAACUAAUACUAGCAGAUGCUCAGCACGGUAAAGACGAUAAUUGUACACAUUAUA